ACCUACUUAGAAAUGAGAUAAAACACAACUCUCCAUUUGAUUCACUUUGAGAGCCUAGAAUUCCACUUAGCUGAAAGUUUGUGUUUCAUCCCAAUUAUAAAUAGGGAAAAAUCUACUUCAAUAGACUGUAUUCAGGCAUGUCCCUGAGUGGAGAUUGUGUCUGUGAUGGUUGUGGCGAUGACUGAUGAUCUGAGGCUUGGUGCAGGGGGUGAAAGGGGUGACGGGCACCGGGUACUGUCCUGGACGUGUGCCGUGGAGUCUUGCUGGGAAGGCUGACAGUUGGGCCGAGGCUGGGCAUGAUGACCGUUGUGAAUCCCGGCUUCUCGCGCCCGCUUACCCGCCCCACGACGGCCCGCACCCACACUGCUGCUGCAACAGGAAGCGUGGUUUACUUACAUGGCCAGGAGAUGCUUCAGAUGUUUGCUGGUGUAUAAGAUAUACCUCAAUUGCUA